rnacentral:rRNA from 1 species
UACGUAGGGGGCAAGCGUUGUCCGGAAUCAUUGGGCGUAAAGAGCGUGUAGGCGGCCAGAUAAGUCCGCUGUGAAAUCUCGAGGCUCAACUUCGAGCUGUCGGUGGAAACUGUCUGGCUAGAGUCCGGAAGAGGAGAAUGGAAUUCCUGGUGUAGCGGUGAAAUGCGCAGAUAUCAGGAAGAACACCCGUGGCGAAGGCGGUUCUCUGGGACGGUACUGACGCUGAGACGCGAAAGCGUGGGGGAGCGAACAGG